rnacentral:rRNA from 1 species
CCUACGGGAGGCAGCAGUGAGGAAUAUUGGUCAAUGGACGAGAGUCUGAACCAGCCAAGUAGCGUGAAGGAUGACUGCCCUAUGGGUUGUAAACUUCUUUUAUAUGGGAAUAAAAUGUUCCACGUGUGGGAUUUUGUAUGUACCAUAUGAAUAAGGAUCGGCUAACUCCGUGCCAGCAGCCGCGGUAAUACGGAGGAUCCGAGCGUUAUCCGGAUUUAUUGGGUUUAAAGGGAGCGUAGGUGGGUUGUUAAGUCAGUUGUGAAAGUUUGCGGCUCAACCGUAGAAUUGCAGUUGAAACUGGCAGUCUUGAGUACAGUAGAGGUGGGCGGAAUUCGUGGUGUAGCGGUGAAAUGCUUAGAUAUCACGAAGAACUCCGAUUGCGAAGGCAGUUCACUGGACUGCAACUGACACUGAGGCUCGAAAGUGUGGGUAUCAAACAGGAUUAGAUACCCGAGUAGUC